CGGCUCUGACCAGCCUGACCAACAGGACCAGGUUUACAGAGACCGAACAGAGAUGAAGGAAGACCUGCUGAGAACUGGAGACCUCAGUCUGACCCUGAAAUCCCCCACAGUCAGAGACGGAGGACGAUACAGGUGCAAAGUCUACAACAUGAAGGGAGACCUCAUGAGAGAGAAAAGAGUUGAUCUCAGGGUCAAAGAGAGAAGCAGCUCCACUGAUCCAACUCCUCUGAUGGCCGAUCAAUCUGUUUGAUCUUUGAUCAUUGAUCCGAUCUGACUCUGGAUCAGAGAGAAAAUGGAGGUGAAGCAGCUGAUGGAGGACGGAUGAAGACAGGAGGACGCUUUGUCAGCUUCUUCUUCACUCUGACUCCUCCUACUGACUCUCACACACAGUCUACACACUCACUAUUGAUUCCUGCUGAUCAGUGAUGUCAGAGUGAGGUCAGCGUGAUGUCACAUGGCUUGAACGGGCGUGUUUCCUGUGAACCUCCCAGCGGCUGGAUAACAGCUGCGGCUCUCUGGAUAUUUGUGGCUCGUUCUAAUGCGUGCAGUCAAACAAACUUUAUUUCUACAGACACAGAGAAGUCAGCAGCUGCAGGAAAUCAGAACCACUGACAGGAAGUUAAGAGUCAAGUUAAACCACAUGUCAGAACUUUCUACAGCAGCAGGAUUUAGAAGAUGCUGGAAGCUGCUGUCUUUAGAUUUUGGACCCGUCACAAUUUGUCACAUUUUCUGAAGCCACAACAAAUCUUGUUGAAAGGAAACAGUUGAUUGAAGGUCCAGUUUCAAACGAAGAGUCAAAGCUUCUCUUUGUGUCGACUCCUUUAAUGAGAACAUUGAAAAGGACUCGAGUCCAAGUCUCAAGUGUCCAGCUCAGAUUAUUCCAGCACCAACCCUGGCAGGAUGCAAGUUAAACAGAAAGCAACACAUUUAGUGACAGAACAGAAAGCAGCCAGCUGUUAAAAUGGACUCAGAGAAUGAAGACACAAUAAGAUUUGAUUCAGUCAGACUUUCACAAGAACAAAGGUUUGUUCAGCCUGAACACAAAUGUGGUCUGUAGUGUUUUUGUAGUCCCUG